rnacentral:rRNA from 1 species
GGGUGCGAUUAAACCAGCACUAAUGCAUCGGAUCCCAUCAGAACUCCGCAGCUAAUGACUGAAAACGGAUGGGUGACCUCCUAGGAAGUCCUCGUGUGGCACCCC